UGGCUCAGAACGAACGCUGGCGGCAGGCUUAACACAUGCAAGUCGAACGCCCCUUUCGGGGGGAGUGGCAGACGGGUGAGUAACACGUGGGAACGUACCCUUUUGUUCGGAAUAACCCAGGGAAACUUGGGCUAAUACCGGAUACGCCCUUACGGGGAAAGAUUUAUCGCAGAAGGAUCGGCCCGCGUCUGAUUAGCUAGUUGGUGAGGUAAAGGCUCACCAAGGCGACGAUCAGUAGCUGGUCUGAGAGGAUGAUCAGCCACACUGGGACUGAGACACGGCCCAGACUCCUACGGGAGGCAGCAGUGGGGAAUAUUGGACAAUGGGCGCAAGCCUGAUCCAGCCAUGCCGCGUGAGUGAUGAAGGCCUUAGGGUUGUAAAGCUCUUUCGGCCGGGACGAUAAUGACGGUACCCGCAGAA
rnacentral:rRNA from 1 species